GCCUAGCUGAUCCUUGGUGGUCCGAGGUACGGGCUUCAAACCCGUGGCCGGUUGACACCGGAGUGGUUCGAUUCCACCUGGUAGGCG